AGUGAACGCUGGCGGUAGGCCUAACACAUGCAAGUCGAACGGCAGCACAGUAAGAGCUUGCUCUUACGGGUGGCGAGUGGCGGACGGGUGAGGAAUACAUCGGAAUCUACUUUUUCGUGGGGGAUAACGUAGGGAAACUUACGCUAAUACCGCAUACGACCUACGGGUGAAAGCAGGGGAUCUUCGUACCUUGCGCGAUUGAAUGAGCCGAUGUCGGAUUAGCUAGUUGGCGGGGUAAAGGCCCACCAAGGCGACGAUCCGUAGCUGGUCUGAGAGAAUGAUCAGCCACACUGGAACUGAGACACGGUCCAGACUCCUACGGGAGGCAGCAGUGGGGAAUAUUGGACAAUGGGCGCAAGCCUGAUCCAGCCAUACCGCGUGGGUGAAGAAGGCCUUCGGGUUGUAAAGCCCUUUUGUUGGGAAAGAAAAGCAGCAGGUUAAUACCCCGCUGUUCUGACGGUACCCAAAGAAUAAGCACCGGCUAACUUCGUG
rnacentral:rRNA from 1 species